AGGAAAAAUAUAAGAAAAUGUGGAGUUUUUGGAGGCAAAAGUUGUUAUGGCAAGUAUUGACAUGAUUUCCUAAUCUUAGUUAGUUCCUAGAAUGCCUAAAUCAUAUCAUCAAAUGUUUCUGCUUUUCCUUUUUAGUGCAAUAUCAAUUUUUUGUUUUAGUUAAAAUUUUAUCUGCCGGUGGAAAGGGAGGCAUUCAAAUCAUUCUAUCUUAUUCCUGUGAGAAAACAGAAUCUGGAUGGGGUCGGAACUAUGAACCUAUUCAUGCAGGAAGAGAAGAAGAAAAAGAAAAGAAAGAAAAGAAGAUGAAAUAUAAAAAGCGAAAGAAAAAAAA
rnacentral:lncRNA from 1 species